CGCGUCUGGUGCAAAUCAGGCGAGUGGCGGACGGGUGAGGAACACGUGGGUUAUCUACCUUGAGGUGAGGAAUACCGGCGAGAAAUCGCCGACAAUACCGCAUGACCUGAGGCAACUCAGGAAAGCUUCGCGAGGAGCGCCCCAAGAUGAGCCUGCGCCCGAUUAGCUGGUUGGUGGGGUAAAAGCCUACCAAGGCGACAAUCAGUAGCUGGUCUGAGAGGACGAUCAGCCACACUGGGAUUGAGAACGGCCCAGACUCCUACGGGGGGCAGCAGUGAGGAAUUUUCGUCAAUGGGGGCAACCCUGAACGAGCAACGCCGCGUGCAGGAAGAAGGUUUUCGGAUCGUAAACUGCUUUUCUUGGGGAAGAGAACGGACGGUACCCAAGGAAGAAGCCCCGGCUAACUACGUGCCAGCAGCCGCGGUAAUACGUAGGGGGCAAGCGUUGUCCGGAUUUAUUGGGGCGUAAAGCGCACGCAGGCGGUCUUUUACUUUUUGAGUGACAGGUGGUGGCUCACCCACCACAGGCCCUUGAAAUACGGGAAGACUUGAGGACGAGAGAGGGAUGCGGAAUUCCAGGUGGAGCGGUGAAUGCGUAAAGAUCUGGAAAAACCCAAAGGCGAAGGCAGCUUCCUGGCUCGGAACUGACCCUGAUGUGGAAGCUAGGGGAGCGAACGGGAUAGAUCCCCGGUAGUCCUAGCCUUAACGAUGACACUAAACGUCG
rnacentral:rRNA from 1 species